rnacentral:rRNA from 1 species
AUAGGCCCCAGGGAAACCUGGAUUAAUACCGGAUGAGACGGGACCCGCGAUGGCGGGAUCCCGGGAAAGGCGCUGCGGCGCCGCCGGGGGAUGAGUCUGCGUCCCAUUAGCUAGACGCGGGGUAAGGCCCACCGUGGCGACGAUGGGUAGCCGGCCUGAGAGGGUGACGGCCACAUUGGAACUGAGACACGGUCCAGACUCCUACGGGAGGCAGCAGCUAAGAAUCUUCCGCAAUGGGCGAAAGCCUGACGGAGCGAACCGCCGCGUGAACGAAGAAGGCCGUGAGGUUGUAAAGUUCUUUUUCGGGAGGGGGAACAACCGUGGCAGGGAAUGGCCGCGGGAUGACGUGAAUCCCGGAAUAAGCCCCGGCUAACUACGUGCCAGCAGCAGC